rnacentral:rRNA from 1 species
ACCGCAAAGUUUUGCGCCCGAUGCCAUUAGGUUGAGGGCACGUCUGCCUGGGUGUCACAUAUCGAAGCCCCCUGCCAAUUUCCCUUUGAUUAUUGUGCAGGGUGGAUGUUGGCCUCCCGUGAGCUCUUUUGUCUCACGGUUGGUUGAAAAUUGAGACCUUGGUAGGGUGUGCCAUGAUAGAUGGUGGUUGUGUGACCCACGAGACCAAUCAUGCGCUGCUCUAUUGAAUUUGGCCUCUUUUACCCAUAUGCGUUUCUAAACGCUCGUGAUGAGACCUCAGGUCAGGCGGGGCUACCCGCUGAAUUUAAGCAUAUCAAUAAGCGGAGGAAAAGAAACUAACAAGGAUUCCCUUAGUAACGGCGAGCGAACCGGGAUAAGCCCACCAUGAGAAUCGGUCGCCCUCGGCGUUCGAAUUGUAGUCGAAAAAAACCCUCAAAUUGUC